UAGGGAAUCUUCGGCAAUGGGGGCAACCCUGACCGAGCAACGCCGCGUGAGUGAAGAAGGUUUUCGGAUCGUAAAGCUCUGUUGUAAGAGAAGAACGUGUGUGAGAGUGGAAAGUUCACACAGUGACGGUAACUUACCAGAAAGGGACGGCUAACUACGUGCCAGCAGCCGCGGUAAUACGUAGGUCCCGAGCGUUGUCCGGAUUUAUUGGGCGUAAAGCGAGCGCAGGCGGUUUAAUAAGUCUGAAGUUAAAGGCAGUGGCUUAACCAUUGUUCGCUUUGGGAACUGUUAAACUUGAGUGCAGAAGGGGAGAGUGGAAUUCCAUGUGUAGCGGUGAAAUGCGUAGAUAUAUGGAGGAACACCGGUGGCGAAAGCGGCUCUCUGGUCUGUAACUGACGCUGAGGCUCGAAAGCGUGGGGAGCAAACAGG
rnacentral:rRNA from 1 species